GACGAACGCUGGCGGCGUGCUUAACACAUGCAAGUCGAACGAAGUGGCGAACGGGUGAGUAACGCGUAAUCAACCUGCCCUUCAGAGGGGGACAACAGUUGGAAACGACUGCUAAUACCGCAUACUGAAGGAGGGGUUUGCGUGGGAUUAGCUGGUUGGAGGGGUAACGGCCAACCAAGGGGAUGAUCAGUAGCCCGCCCGAGAGGAUGAACGGCCCCAGUGGGACCGAGACACGGCCCAGACUCCUUGCGGGGGCAGCAGUGGGGGAUCGUCCGGCAUGGACGGAAGUCUGACGGAGCAACGCCGCGUGAGGUAUGACGGCCUUCGGGUUGUAAAGCUCUGUUUAUCGGGACGCGGUACCGGAAUAGAAAGCCACGGCUAACUACGUGCCAGCAGCCGCGGUAAUAC
rnacentral:rRNA from 1 species